rnacentral:rRNA from 1 species
AUUGAACGCUGGCGGCAUGCUUUACACAUGCAAGUCGAACGGUAACAGGCCGCAAGGUGCUGACGAGUGGCGAACGGGUGAGUAAUGCAUCGGAACGUGCCCAGUCGUGGGGGAUAACGCAGCGAAAGCUGCGCUAAUACCUCAUACGAUCUCCGGAUGAAAGCGGGGGACCGCACGGCCUCGUGCGAUUGGAGGGGCCGGUGUCAGAUUAGGUAGUUGGUGGGGUAAAGGCCCACCAAGCCAACGAUCUGUAGCUGGUCUGAGAGGACGACCAGCCACACUGGGACUGAGACACGGCCCAGACUCCUACGGGAGGCAGCAGUGGGGAAUUUUGGACAAUGGGCGCAAGCCUGAUCCAGCAAUGCCGCGUGCAGGAAGAAGGCCUUCGGGUUGUAAACUGCUUUUGUACGGAACGAAACGGUCCGGGCUAAUACCCUGGGCUAAUGACGGUACCGUAAGAAUAAGCACCGGCUAACUACGUGCCAGCAGCCGCGGUAA